rnacentral:rRNA from 1 species
AUUGAACGCUGGCGGCAGGCCUAACACAUGCAAGUCGAGCGGAGCGGCGGACGGGUGAGUAAUGCCUAGGAAUCUGACUGGUAGUGGGGGAUAACGUACGGAAACGGGCGCUAAUACCGCAUACUAUCAGAUGAGCCUAGGUCGGAUUAGCUAGUUGGUGGGGGAAAGGCCUACCCAGGCGACGAUCCGUAGCUGGUCUGAGAGGAUGAGCAGUCACACUGGAACUGAGAAACGGUCCAGACUCCUACGGGAGGCAGCAGUGGGGAAUAGUGGACAAUGGGCGAAAGCCUGAUGCAGCCAUGCCGCGUGUGUGAAGAAGGUCUUCGGAUUGUAAAGCACUUUAAGUUGGGAGGCGUUACCAACAGAAUAAGCACCGGCUAACUUCGUGCCAGCAGCCGCGGUAAUUC